GACUUUAUAGCUUAAUGGUCAAAGCAUCCAAGGUAAAACCGCAGACACCAGUGUGAAAGCCACUGACGGAAUGGAUAUAGGUUCGAAUCCUAUUAAAGUCA
rnacentral:tRNA from 1 species